UGGAUGAGCCUAUGUCGGAUUAGCUAGUUGGUGAGGUAAAGGCUCACCAAGGCAACGAUCCGUAGCUGGUCUGAGAGGAUGAUCAGCCACAUCGGGACUGAGACACGGCCCGAACUCUACGGGAGGCAGCAGUGGGGAAUAUUGGACAAUGGGCGCAAGCCUGAUCCAGCCAUGCCGCGUGUGUGAAGAAGGCCCUCGGGUUGUAAAGCACUUUCAGCGAGGAAGAACGCCUAGUGGUUAAUACCCAUUAGGAAAGACAUCACUCGCAGAAGAAGCACCGGCUAACUCCGUGCCAGCAGCCGCGGUAAUACGGAGGGUGCAAGCGUUAAUCGGAAUUACUGGGCGUAAAGCGCGCGUAGGUGGCUUGAUAAGCCGGUUGUGAAAGCCCCGGGCUCAACCUGGGAACGGCAUCCGGAACUGUCAAGCUAGAGUGCAGGAGAGGAAGGUAGAAUUCCCGGUGUAGCGGUGAAAUGCGUAGAGAUCGGGAGGAAUACCAGUGGCGAAGGCGGCCUUCUGGACUGACACUGACACUGAGGUGCGAAAGCG
rnacentral:rRNA from 1 species